AACGUAGGACGCAAGCGUUAUCCGGAGUUACUGGGCGUAAAGGGCAUGCAGGCGGUCGGACGCGUUUCGGGUGACAGCGGGUGGCUUAACUACCCGAGUGGUCGAAAGACGGUUUGACUUGAGGACGCGAGAGGGACACGGAAUUCCGGGUGGAGUGGUGAAAUGCGUAGAGAUCCGGAGGAACACCGAAGGCGAAGGCAGUGUCCUGGCGCGUAACUGACGCUGAGGUGCGAAAGCCAGGGGAGCGAACGGG
rnacentral:rRNA from 1 species